rnacentral:lncRNA from 1 species
GGUCCUUCAUCUCCUCGACAGUUUCCUCUCGCGAGGCAGACUGACCAUUCUUCAGUAAAACGAGCAUAACGUCUACUACAGAAUGCUGAUUGACCUAAAACCGGAGGCAUUGGAAAGAUAACUCAAAUAUAUAUCUUGUGUCAAAAUAUGGGCUCAAUUUAACGGUGGGAAGGUCUCCAUCCAUAGCUAGACAUCUGACGCGUCUGUGCAGUUCUGCACAUCGAAAAGACUCCAAAAGACACCAAAGUCACCACUUUCCUC